CACGUAGGGCGCAAGCGUUGUCCGGAAUUAUUGGGCGUAAAGAGCUCGUAGGCGGCCGGUUGCGUCUGCUGUGAAAUCCCGGGGCUUAACCCCGGGCGUGCAGUGGAUACGGGCCGGCUGGAGGCAGGCAGGGGAGAAUGGAAUUCCCGGUGUAGCGGUGAAAUGCGCAGAUAUCGGGAGGAACACCGGUGGCGAAGGCGGUUCUCUGGGCCUGUACUGACGCUGAGGAGCGAAAGCGUGGGGAGCGAACAGG
rnacentral:rRNA from 1 species